UACGGAGGGUGCGAGCGUUGUCCGGAAUCACUGGGCGUAAAGGGCGCGUAGGUGGCUCGUGAAGCGUGCGGUGAAAGUCCGAGGCUCAACCUCGGAUCGGCCGUGCGGACUCGCGGGCUCGAGCACUGUAGAGGCAGAUGGAAUUCCGGGUGUAGCGGUGGAAUGCGUAGAGAUCCGGAAGAACACCGGUGGCGAAGGCGGUCUGCUGGGCAGUUGCUGACACUGAGGCGCGACAGCGUGGGGAGCAAACAGG
rnacentral:rRNA from 1 species